rnacentral:rRNA from 1 species
GAUGAACGCUGGCGGCGUGCCUAAUACAUGCAAGUCGAGCGAAUGGAUUAAGAGCUUGCUCUUAUGAAGUUAGCGGCGGACGGGUGAGUAACACGUGGGUAACCUGCCCAUAAGACUGGGAUAACUCCGGGAAACCGGGGCUAAUACCGGAUAACAUUUUGAACCGCAUGGUUCGAAAUUGAAAGGCGGCUUCGGCUGUCACUUAUGGAUGGAACCGCGUCGCAUUAGCUAGUGGGUGAGGUAACGGCUCACCAAGGCAACGAUGCGUAGCCGACCUGAGGGGGUGAUCGGCCACGCUGGGACUGAGACACGGCCCAGAUUCCGACGGGAGGCAGCAGUAGGGAAUCUUCCGCAAUGGACGAAAGUCUGACGGAGCAAUGCCGCGUGAGUGAUGAAGGCUUUCGGGUCGUAAAACUCUGUUGUUAGGGAAGAACAAGUGCUAGUUGAAUAAGCUGGCACCUUGACGGUACCUAACCAGAAAGCCACGGCUAACUACGUGCCAGCAGCCGCCGUAA